AAAGAUAUAGAAUAUUCUUUCUGAAUAUACUUUAUUACCCCAUUCCGAGUACCUUACCCGUUGCUUCCGCGAGGCUGUCCUCACGGUCCUCUGAAGAUUUAUCUUUGGGGAUGUCCUUAGCGGAAGGGUAUACAAUAAACUCUUGCAUUACCAUGUCAUCUGUCUGAAUCUGUUUAAAACAAAUAUUA
rnacentral:misc_RNA from 1 species